rnacentral:rRNA from 2 species
AAUAGUUUUUUAAAUGGAAACUGGGAUGAAAGAAGUGAUGAGAUUUAUACUGUCUUAGAUUUAGAGAUUAAAUUUAUUAAUUAAGUAAAAAUACUUAGAUAUGAAUAUGGGACGAGAAGACCCUAUAGAAUUUUAUAUAAAUUUAUUAUUUGAUUUAGUUAAAAAAUAUGAGUAAUAGGUUAAUAUUUUAUUGGGAGGAUAGUUAAAUUAGGAAAACUUUAAUAUUUUUAAAAUCAUUAAUUUAUGAGUUAUAAUUAAAAGGAAUGGUUAUUAAAUUUAAGUAGAAUUAAUUACCUUAGGGAUAACAGCGUAAUUUCUUUAGAGAGAUCUUAUUAAUAAAGAUGUUUGC